rnacentral:rRNA from 1 species
ACGAACGCUGGCGGCGUGCUUAACACAUGCAAGUCGAACGGAAAGGCCCUGCUUUUGUGGGGUGCUCGAGUGGCGAACGGGUGAGUAACACGUGAGUAACCUGCCCUUGACUUUGGGAUAACUUCAGGAAACUGGGGCUAAUACCGGAUAGGAGCUCCUGCUGCAUGGUGGGGGUUGGAAAGUUUCGGCGGUUGGGAAUGGACUCGCGGCUUAUCAGCUUGUUGGUGGGGUAGUGGUUUACCAAGGCUUUGACGGGUAGCCGGCCUGAGAGGGGGACCGGCCACAUGGGGCGUGGGAACGGGCCCGGCUCCUACGGGGGGGCAGCGGGGGGGAAUAUUCCACAAGGGGCGGAAGCCGGAUCCACAAACGCCGGGGGGGGGAUGACGCCCUUCGGGUUUAAAACCGCUUUCCCCUGUGCCGAACGGGGGGGGGCGGUAAUGGGUAAAGAAGCCCCGGCUAACUACGU